GCCAAGAAAAUCAGCAAAAAAAGGAGCAGUAAAAAUGAGGAUGCAAGCAAUUCACUCAUAAGUAACUUCAAAACAAUGCAUCAUAUAGUUCCUGUUUAUUACCCACAGGUGGGUAAGCCAAAAUUAGCCUUUUUCUCUGAAAUACAGAGAUACCCUGUAAAUGCAAAUGCAUCUCCAGAAAGUUCCUGAGAAGAUUACACUAAAAUUAUUUAAGAGAUGGGGAAUCUCUCUUUGAAGCAAUCUGAAAGCUUGCUGACAAAAAAUGAUGUGCAUGAACCUCACCUCUUCCAUAACCCAGAAGAAAAAGAAAAUUUGUUUGUGGAAAAUGAGUAAAUUCAGCCUCAAG
rnacentral:lncRNA from 1 species